GUGUGUGUGUGUGUGUGUGUGUGUUCCACAUAAUGGAAUACUACUCAGCGGUGAAAACGAAUGAAAUGUUGCCAUAUGCAACAACAUGGAUGGAACUAGAGGGUAUUAUGCUAAUUGAAAUAAGUCAGAGAAAGAUAAAUAUGUGAUUUCAC